UAAUAUCAUCAUCCUCUAAACUCUGAAGGGCCUGGAAAUUUGAGCCCACCUACCUUAACCUCAAAAUCCGUGUCAUGUAACUCACUCAACACAAAUAUCCGACGGUUCCAAAGGCACCCUUAGAACCAGGCAGCUGUUGCCAAAGCAAACUAACCAACACGGCAAAACGAACCAGCAAAGUCAGAACCGACGACCUUUUGUUUUCUUUUUUAGGGUUCAAGUGGGAUUGGGGUUGUUUUCAUUUUCAGUUGAAGAAGAGAAGGAAAAUGGUGAACCCAAGGUGUUAUUUGGACAUAAGUAUAGGAGGAGAACUAGAAGGAAGGAUUGUAGUGGAGUUGUACAAGGAUGUUGUGCCUAAAACUGCUGAGAAUUUCAGGACUUUGUGCACUGGUGAGAAAGGCAUUGCUCCUAACUCUGCUGCCUCCCUGCAUUACAAGGGUGUGCGCUUUCAUCGCAUUAUCCGAGGUUUUAUGAUACAAGGUGGGGAUAUAUCAGCUGGUGAUGGAACUGGGGGAGAAUCCAUUUAUGGCUUGAAAUUUGAAGAUGAAAAUUUCGAGUUAAAACAUGAAAGAAAAGGAACGUUAUCGAUGGCUAAUAUGGGGCCUAACACCAAUGGGUCUCAAUUCUUCAUUACAACUACUCGAACAUCUCAUCUCGAUGGAAAACAUGUGGUUUUUGGGAAGGUUAUAAAAGGAAUGGGUGUUGUUCGUUCUAUCGAGCUUGUUGCUACUGAGGAUGGUGAUUACCCCACUCAAGAGGUUAUAAUUGCUGAUUGCGGAGAAAUUCCCGAGGGGGGGGAUGAUGGAGUAUCCAACCUUUUUAAGGAUGGUGAUAUAUAUCCUGAUUGGCCAGUUGACCUUGACAAAAAACCAGAUGAAAUUUCUUGGUGGAUGAAGGCAGUAGACUCUAUCAAAGCUUUUGCAAACGAGCAAUACAAGAAACAAGACUAUAAGAUUGCUCUUAGAAAAUAUUGGAAGGCUUUACGUUACUUGGAUGUCUGCUGGGACUUGGAGGGAAUUGAUCAAGCAAAGAGCUCGUAUUUGCGGAAGACCAAGUCUCAGAUAUUUACAAACAGUUCUGCCUGCAAGUUGAAACUAGGCGAUCUAAAAGGAGCAUUGUUGGAUGCAGACUUUGCAAUUCGUGAUGGAGAAGAUAAUGUGAAAGCUUUCUUUCGUCAAGGCCAGGCAAAUAUGGCACUUAAUGACAUCGAUUCUGCAGUUGAGAGCUUUAAAAAGGCAUUGGACUUGGAACCUAAUGAUGGUGGAAUAAAGAAAGAGCUUGCAGCUGCAAGGAAGAAGAUUGCUGAUAGACGGGACCAGGAGAAAAAGGCGUACUCUAGAAUGUUUCAGUAGAACUUUAGUCAACAUUAUGGUACUGCAACAAUCUUUAUAUUUGCUUUCUGAAUAUCUAAGUUUCAUGUUCUCUAGUAAACCAUGUUUUCAUGAUUUGUAGGCCGACUUUUGUCUUGAAAGAUCAGUUUUGGAUUUUCUUUUUUCAUACCUCAUCAUGUAUCUAGUCUUCGGAGUUCUUUUAUUGUCUGGCCAGCAUUAGGAGAAAUCGGGCAUUUGUUUAUGCUAAAACCUUCCAGAUUUCUCCUCAGGAAAUACUCAAACUUGGGUGCAUUUUAAAUCAGAACCAUCUUUUAUUCCUUUUUAUUUCUGGUCUAGCAGAUCUGACAUUUUAUUCCGAGCAGGAACUGUAUUUUCGUGCACGUCUGUUUGAAUUUAUGUGAAAAUUCUUUUUAUGUGCACAAGACAAAUUUUCAUUUGAGAUAAAAUCGAUACUUUCUUUUUAA